ACGAAGCAGGGGAGCAGCUGCUGAGGGAGAAAAGCCAUUAUGGGAGAGACAGAGAGAAAUUGCAGCCGGGCUGAAGUUAUCAGCCCUCACCGGAGAGCUGAGCACAGCAGGCCAGGCAAAUGAUGCUGGCUAUGUAUGCUGUGUGAUUCUUCCUUGUGGCAGCUGGCCACAGCUCCCAGAUAGCCCCAUGUCCCGUGAGUAAUGGGGGGGACAGCCAAGGCUCAGUUUUAAGCCUGCAAGCUGUUCAGUAUAGCAUUCCACGGGACACAUGAGGAGGUCAGAAAACAACCUGCGAGAGUCUG